CGCUAUCACUCCUACGGGGAGGCAGCAGUAGGGAAUCUUACCACAAUGGGCGCAAGCCUGAUGGAGCAACACCGCGUGAGUGAAGAAGGGUUUCGGCUCGUAAAGCUCUGUUGUUAAAGAAGAACACGUAUGAGAGUAACUGUUCAUACGUUGACGGUAUUUAACCAGAAAGUCACGGCUAACUACGUGCCAGCAGCCGCGGUAAUACGUAGGUGGCAAGCGUUAUCCGGAUUUAUUGGGCGUAAAGAGAGUGCAGGCGGUUUUCUAAGUCUGAUGUGAAAGCCUUCGGCUUAACCGGAGAAGUGCAUCGGAAACUGGAUAACUUGAGUGCAGAAGAGGGUAGUGGAACUCCAUGUGUAGCGGUGGAAUGCGUAGAUAUAUGGAAGAACACCAGUGGCGAAGGCGGCUACCUGGUCUGCAACUGACGCUGAGACUCGAAAGCAUGGGUAGCGAACAGGAUUAGAUACCCUGGUAG
rnacentral:rRNA from 1 species